AUUCAGGUUCCUUUCUGGACGCUUCUCCCAUCUUCCACAGCCAUCAUCCUGCUACAGCACCACGGCCCCUCCACCUGGACAGCAGUGAUUGCUGUCUCAACAGUGUGUGAGAACAGAUGCUUCCCAAGAAAAGGUGGGCGUCGCCGCCAGGGGCCAAUCCCUUCACCCAAAGGACAGAGGAAGCAGAGUGAUGAAGAUCAGGUGUGGUAUGCGGCUAUAAAGAGCCCACAGGUCUCAGGACAGAAGGAGGGGUAACCACUCAAGAGGACCAGAAUAGAGGGACACCCAGAGCAGGCCAUUCCUUUCUCCAUCAGCCCCAUGGCCCAGGGCCUGGAGGUGGGGGAGAGAGUGGGGAAGGCCUCCAGCUGCCCGGAUGUCAGCCCUAGCGACCUCUCUCCUUCCGCACAAGUGAAGCUCUGGGCUCAGCCCAUACCACGCGAGCCGGCCUCGAACCACCCAGGCCUUGCCUGCACUCACUGAGCUGACCUAGUGACCUCGGA